GAUGAACGCUAGCUACAGGCUUAACACAUGCAAGUCGCGGGGUAACAUCUGGUAGAGCUUGCUCUUCCAGGAUGACGACCGGCGCACGGGUGAGUAACGCGUAUCCAACCUGGCCCAUACCACGGGAUAGCCCGUCGAAAGGCGGAUUAAUACCGUAUGCUGUCAUUAAGAUGCAUAUAUUGAUGACGAAAGGACUGGCGGUAUGGGAUGGGGAUGCGUCUGAUUAGCUUGUUGGCGGGGUAACGGCCCACCAAGGCGACGAUCAGUAGGGGUUCUGAGAGGAAGGUCCCCCACAUUGGAACUGAGACACGGUCAAAACUCCUAACGGGGAGGCAGCAGUGAGGAAUAUU
rnacentral:rRNA from 1 species